UACAGAGGUCUCAAGCGUUGUUUCGGAUUCAUUGGGCGUAAAGGGUGCGUAGGUGGCGCCGUAAGUCAGGUGUGAAAUUUCGGAGCUUAACUCCGAAACUGCAUUUUGAUACUGCGGUGCUUUGAGGACUGGAGAGGAGACUGGAAUUUACGGUGUAGCAGUGAAAUGCGUAGAGAUCGUAAGGAAGACCAGUGGCGAAGGCGGGUCGUCUGGACAGUUCUGACACUGAGGCACGAAGGCCAGGGGAGCAAACGGG
rnacentral:rRNA from 1 species